rnacentral:lncRNA from 1 species
UAAUGAAUUGUGAAUAGGCAAAGAUAUAGUAGGAUUAACAGUUGAGGAAUACCACAUGAGUAUAAAUGUGCUCUGGCUGGGUGUUUAGCAUUUUAAACAACUAAAACUAAAAAUAAAAAUAGACUGUUGUGAAAAUGGAAAAAGGGCUGCAUCAAAUUAAAGUGUUUCUGUAAGCAGUACAACCUGUUACAGCCAUACUACAACAGCCUGGUUUCAGCCAGGUCUGAAACUUGUUGGCUUGGAGUUCUAGAAGAGAAUGUAAGGGGGAAGGGGGAAGAAGAAACAACAGAUUUUUGAAAUACAUUCAAAGCAAGACUGAAGAAUUUAGAUAACUAGGUGCACAUAACUUACAGGCACACUACUGAACUGCUGAAACAAACUUUCCAAGCUAUUAAUAGUUAUUAUUGGGUUCAGAAAAGCAGCGAAAAGCCAACAUAUAUUUUGCAGCUUUCAGUCUUAGAAGUUUAUUUAAACUUAGAAGUUUUUGUUUGUUUGUUUGUUUGUUUUGCAAGGUUGGCAAUAUCAUAGAUCUAUUCACUUAGCUCUGGGGUUCUCAGGUGGCAGUCAUCACAAAGAUGAUCACAUAGAUAUUUAACUAGCAGAUUCAAGAAAGUGCUCUUUUCAUCCAUCUUUUUCAUCAACAUUUCAUCAAAGAACUUUCAGCUGUAACUCUGAGCUUACUGGACAUUCUGUGAGUGCGUCCAGCAAAGAAGAGUUUUAAAACUCCCAGUUUUCAGUGACCAGCUACCGAGAAGCAAUUCCUUUCUUUUCCAAGACAUGUCAGAUUUCUACAUUUACAAGCUCAAACAGUUGCCUUAUAGAUACUCCAGUACAUUUGCAUUUUUGAUUGAUAUCAGAUAUCAGGGAAGGUCAGGCCUAAUCAGUUCUUGGAUGGGCAAAGUCUGAUGGAGAGCAGGUUGUGGUGAUGCAGCAUAAGGGACUUGAUGCAGCAUAAAGGACUUAGCAAGAGCUGUUGCUGCAUAUCAGAGGUUGAAGAGAUUGAUGAAAAGACAACAACAAUACAAAACCCCUCUGUAUAUUCAAAAUGCGAUGAUGUUCCAUUCAUGGAAAAGCUCUCAACCUUAGUGUAG